rnacentral:rRNA from 1 species
UACGUAGGGUGCAAGCGUUGUCCGGAAUUAUUGGGCGUAAAGAGCUCGUAGGCGGUUUGUUGCGUCGGCUGUGAAAUCCCGAGGCUCAACCUCGGGUCUGCAGUCGAUACGAGCAAACUAGAGUGUUGCAGGGGAGACUGGAAUUCCUGGUGUAGCGGUGAAAUGCGCAGAUAUCAGGAGGAACACCGGUGGCGAAGGCGGGUCUCUGGGCAACAACUGACGCUGAGGAGCGAAAGCGUGGGGAGCGAACAGA